UACGAAGGGGGCUAGCGUUGUUCGGAUUUACUGGGCGUAAAGCGCACGUAGGCGGAUCGAUCAGUCAGGGGUAAGAACCUCCAGGGCUCAACGUGGAGGGGCCAUUCGAAACUGCCGUGACUCGAGUCCGGUAGGGGAGUGUGGAAUUCCCGGUGUAGCGGUGAAAUGCGCAGAUAUCGGGAGGAACACCAGUAGCGGAAGGCGGCACUCUGGGCCGGUACUGGACGCUGAGGCGCGAAAGCGUGGGGAGCAAACAGG
rnacentral:rRNA from 1 species